rnacentral:rRNA from 1 species
AAGUGAUUGCUUCUACACUGUGAAAAUUUGGCUGAGAGACUCAGACUGGUCAUGGGUAGACCUAUCUGGGGUUUGAUCGAUGCCACUCCUGGUUUCAGGAGUACCCUUCAUAAUAAACCUAGAAAUUCAGUAUUAUAAAGUUUAAUAAAAAACAACUUUUAACAAUGGAUCUCUUGGUUCUCGCAUCGAUGAAGAACGUAGCAAAGUGCGAUAACUAGUGUGAAUUGCAUAUUCAGUGAAUCAUCGAGUCUUUGAACGCAGCUUGCACUCUAUGGUUUUUCUAUAGAGUACGCCUGCUUCAGUAUCAUCACAAACCCACACAUAACAUUUGUUUAUGUGGUGAUGGGUCGCAUCGCUGUUUUAUUACAGUGAGCACCUAAAAUGUGUGUGAUUUUCUGUCUGGCUUGCUAGGCAGGAAUAUUACGCUGGUCUCAGGAUCUUUUUUUUUGGUUCGCCCAGGAAGUAAAGUACAAGAGUAUAAUCCAGUAACUUUCAAACUAUGAUCUGAAGUCAGGUGGGAUUACCCGCUGAACUUAAGCAUAUCAAUAAGCGGAGGA